CCACAUCGACGGGACAGCAGUGGAGAAGUUCUUAGGACAAAUAAGAUCGUCAAUUCUUCCAGACCAAAGAGAGGUUUCGAAAGCCUUAUUUGACCAGGGAAUGACCAGGAGAGGGUCGCUGGGGCAGCCACCAGAACUGGACUGUCGGAGAGUGUGGUGGAGAAUUGGUUAUGGAAUGAAAGAAGAAAACUGUCCCAGAGUCAAGCUGUCCCUCAAAAAAGAACUAAGCUCUACAAAUGGAAUGUGUCAGCUUACAACCUGUUUAUGAGGGACCACCUUAAAGCAACAGCAGGAGUUAUGGCAGGUACACAGAGCAAAUGGCAGGCAUUACCACCUGCAACAAUGGCCCAUUACAGUGAGGAGGCAGACAAGCUACAGGCAGGAGUUGAAGGGGAACCUGAAGGCCUUAAAAGUCAAAGAUUAUUUAAGACGGCUGAAAUCAAUGGUGGGAAUGUAUACUGUAGGAUAAAUCAUGACAUUUUGAAACUUUUACUUUAAAAAAGUAAUGUAUUUGGAUUUGAUAGUUGGAGUUAGAGUUGAGAUACAGAUUUAAGAUCCAGAGGACAGGCAUUUUUCUUACAAAAGGAUUUCAGCCUUUUUGACAACUCUUUUCCUAUAAGCAUUUUUAGAUAUUGUCAUUUUUUUAUAUACAUCUAAUUUCAUUUAAUAUUUAUCUUGUCUAUUUCUACAU